rnacentral:lncRNA from 1 species
GGGUGGCGCAGGAAGAAGGAGCAGAAGGUGCGGGGAGGAGAGCGGGGGGCGCCGGCGGCAGCGCGCGUGGAGGCGGCACUUCGCGAAGUGGCACUUCGGGGCGGGCGGCCCGCCGGGUCGCGGCCUGGCGCUGCGGGGCGGGGAGCGGCUCGGACGCAGGACGCCGCGGGCCGGGCUUACAGGUGGGAGAGGCCCCGACCCCGCCGCUUCGCAGGCCAGCUUCCUGCUGUGUUCCCUGCACCCACCGAUCUCACACGCAGCCCUAGGACAGACGUCCACUGGCCUGAGUUGGGUCUGGGGCCAACACGGAGCAGGUGGGGGUAGAGCAGCUCUGCUCGCCUGGAGGAAAGUUGAAUGGCUGGAACCAAGAUGACAGAUGGAGGCUGGCAGGCAAACACGGGAGGCCUCCUCACUCCAAGAGGGGAGUCAGCCUGGGGACAGUUCUUCUCCAGGCCCUGCUGCUCCCAUCAGCUGCAACACAGGAGAGGUGGCUGAAUGCGGGCUGGAGGCCUUCCCUGAGAAGACGGUUAUCCAUGCUGUACAUGGAAGUGACCAGCUCGGCACCUGAGGAGACACACCGCGGCCGAUGACAGGCGCAGAGCAGGACGUGGUGAGGUCCUCAUACCUAGGAAUGCAGAACAAGGGCAAGAAACUCGGUGCCCGCCUGGCAUCUGCCCUGCACCAGUGGCCUCCAGGAAGUUCUCCACCAAGGAUGUUCCCCAGGCACUCUGUGCUCGCCUUCACCAGCGUCCUGUGAGGUCUUUCACACUGAUGGGGAAGCCUUUCUAAAGGGUAUUAGGGGGCUUGGGGGCUGGGGGUGCUGAGUACCAAGGGUCCCAGGAAGAGACAGGCCAGGCUUAUGGGCUGGGCAUCCAGAGAUCGCCCUGACGCCAGCUCCAGGUGGAGUUAGGAGGGCACUCUUGUCCCGACGCAUUUACAGACCACUCCCUCUUCUUGUUCCCCUCGACUCUGAGAGUGUGGUGGGGUAGCUGUGGAACCUGACUGCUUGCCUGAAGGUUGGGCAGCGUGGCUAGAAAUUGCGGCCCAGACCUGGGAUCUCACCCACACCUCUAUGAGACGUCCUGAAGGAAACCAUCGACUGAGCGGAGAGGCUUCGCCUUGCCCGCCUCCUCCCAGGAAGGAAGAGCGGAAGAGGCGUCGCCAGCCACCGAGACUGCCAGCCACCACCCCCUCCCAGACUCUCUGUCCCCACCCCAGACCAGGGUCACC